rnacentral:rRNA from 1 species
UCCACGCUGUAAACGAUGUCGAUUUGGGGGUUGAGCUUUGAGCUUGGCGCCCGUAGCUAACGUGAUAAAUCGACCGCCUGGGGAGUACGGCCGCAAGGUUAAAACUCAAAUGAAUUGACGGGGGCCCGCACAAGCGGUGGAGCAUGUGGUUUAAUUCGAUGCAACGCGAAGAACCUUACCUACUCUUGACAUCCAGAGAACUUUCCAGAGAUGGAUUGGUGCCUUCGGGAACUC